rnacentral:rRNA from 1 species
GCAAGUCGAGGGGUAACAGAGGUAGCUUGCUACUUGCUGACGACCGGCGCACGGGUGCGUAACGCGUAUACAAUUUACCUUGUACAGGGGAAUAGCCUUUAGAAAUGAAGAUUAAUGCCCCAUAGUCUAUUUGAAUCACCUGGUUUAAAUAGUAAAGAUUUAUCGGUACAAGAUGAGUAUGCGUUCUAUUAGCUAGAUGGAGUGGUAACGGCUCCCCAUGGCAACGAUAGAUAGGGGUCCUGAGAGGGAGAUC